GAUGAACGCUAGCUACAGGCUUAACACAUGCAAGUCGAGGGGCAGCGCAGUGUAGCAAUACAUGGGCGGCGACCGGCGCACGGGUGCGUAACGCGUAUCCAACCUUCCCGUUACUCAGGGAUAGCCUUCCGGAAGGGAGAUUAAUACCUGAUGGUGUUGAAAUUCCGCAUGUUAUUUCAACUAAAGAUUUAUCGGUAACGGAUGGGGAUGCGUGACAUUAGAUAGUAGGCGGGGUAACGGCCCACCUAGUCUACGAUGUCUAGGGGUUCUGAGAGGAAGGUCCCCCACACUGGAACUGAGACACGGUCCAG
rnacentral:rRNA from 1 species